UACGUAGGGUGCAAGCGUUGUCCGGAAUUAUUGGGCGUAAAGAGCUCGUAGGCGGUUUGUCGCGUCUGCUGUGAAAACUCAGGGCUUAACCCUGAGCCUGCAGUGGGUACGGGCAGACUAGAGUGUGGUAGGGGAGAUCGGAAUUCCUGGUGUAGCGGUGGAAUGCGCAGAUAUCAGGAGGAACACCGGCGGCGAAGGCGGGUCUCUGGGCAGUAACUGACGCUGAGGAGCGAAAGCGUGGGGAGCGAACAGG
rnacentral:rRNA from 1 species